rnacentral:lncRNA from 1 species
GCAGCCGUAGAAACCGAUUUGCCGACCUCUGGCCACGCUUAUGAUGGCUUGAGGUCUUGGCUUAUAAAGGUGACACUGUUGAGUUCUUUGUCGUUUAUAAUGAGUAAUACAUCCAACUUUGGCCAAUAAAACAAGGUUAUGUGUAAGAACCAAUUUUUUAUUACGGCGCUCGUCCAUCCCCACUAGCCAGCAUUUCCGCGCCUCAGGCGGACUUGCAC